rnacentral:misc_RNA from 1 species
GGUUCAAGCUCAGCGGGCCGGCGAAGAACGCCGCGUCCGUUCAUUACACGACCCAGGACGGCACGGCCAUCGCCGGUCAGGACUACGUGGCCACCUCAGGAUGGUUCGGCUUUCCGACGGGGCAAACCGUCGGCGAAUUACAAAUCGAAAUCAUCGACGACACGGCGUUCGAAGGCGACGAGACGUUCAGUAUCCGCUUGGACCAAGGAAACAGCUACCUGUACGUAUCGGAUCACAUCGCCACGGCCACCAUCAUCAGCGACGACCCGAUCACUCCUCCGCUCAAGCUCUCCUCGCACACGGAGUUGGAAGGCGACCGCGGCUCCCGGCAGAUCCAGUUCAAGGUCACGCUGACCGCGCCGACAUCGUUCCCGGU